rnacentral:misc_RNA from 1 species
GAUGAAGAACGUAGCGAAAUGCGAUAAGUAAUGUAAAUUGCAGAAUUCAGUGAAUCAUCGAAUCUUUGAACGCACAUUGCGCCCGCCAGUAUUCUGGCGGGCAUGCCUGUUCGAGCGUCAUUUCAACCAUCAAGCCCCCGGCUUGUGUUGGGGACCUGCGGCUGCCGCAGGCCCUGAAAAGCAGUGGCGGGCUCGCUGUCACACCGAGCGUAGUAGCAUACAUCUCGCUCUGGGCGUGCUGCGGGUUCCGGCCGUUAAACCACCUUCAUAACCCAAGGUUGACCUCGGAUCAGGUAGGAAGACCCGCUGAACUUAAGCAUAUCAAUAAGCGGAGGA